GGUGCAACCGAGCUGGGAAGCCUGUCAUCUGUGCUACUCAGAUGCUGGAGAGCAUGAUCAAGAAGCCCCGCCCCACUCGGGCUGAAGGCAGUGAUGUGGCCAAUGCAGUCCUGGAUGGAGCCGACUGCAUCAUGCUGUCUGGAGAAACAGCCAAAGGGGACUAUCCUCUGGAGGCUGUGCGCAUGCAGCACCUGGUGAGUUCUGGGGCCUGCCUCAUCCCCCAGGGCUUCGGACUGGGCCUGGGAUGGAUGCAAGCUCUGGUGCAGAGCUUUUUAGGUUUCUCCAUCCUCUUACGCACAGCCUUUCAUUAUCCUCCAAGUUACAGCAGCAAGAGGGUGGGGGUGGAAGUGGAGGUGGCUUUUUUUUUUCUCCUGUUCUGCAUUUCUGCCCACACCCCCACCCCUCCAUUUCCUUCUGCUCUGGAGGCAUCCUCCUUCAUUGGACACCACACAGUUUAUUUCACUUCUGACCUCAAGGUUGUGAAUUCUUCCCAUGGCUUAAGUCCUGGGAUACUUCUGCAGUGAAAGGAGGUCUUGUACCUCUUCCUCAGAGUCAGAAGUUCUGAGUACCUUUGCCCUAUUCUGAAAAGGGCUAGGGGCUCCUGCUCCCAGCUGCUCUCUUCCUUUGGCUUCCAAUUCAGUUCCCCCUGCCCCGCAUCCUGCA
rnacentral:sRNA from 1 species